rnacentral:misc_RNA from 1 species
GUGAGUCAUCGAAUCUUUGAACGCACCUUGCGCUCCUUGGUAUUCCGAGGAGCAUGCCUGUUUGAGUGUCUUGAAGUCAUCAACCCCUCCCGUUUUUGUGCGGAGAGGACGGUUGGAUCUGGGGGCCUGCUGCCGUCAGGCGGCUCUCCUCAAAUGCAUCGGUUGGGCCUGAGGGUCGAACUCGGUUGGGCGUUGUACCAUCCUCGCUCCUGUCCGAGAUGUUCCCCCUUUGCUGAGCCCUUCCACGACCUCCUCUGGAGUGGCGGUCAAGCUGAACUUUGAAAUCUGACCUCAAAUCAGGUAGGACUACCCGCUGAACUUAAGCAUAUCAAUAAGCGGAGGA